rnacentral:rRNA from 1 species
GAUGAACGCUGGCGGCGUGCCUAAUACAUGCAAGUCGAGCGAACAGACGAGGAGCUUGCUCCUCUGACGUUAGCGGCGGACGGGUGAGUAACACGUGGAUAACCUACCUAUAAGACUGGGAUAACUUCGGGAAACCGGAGCUAAUACCGGAUAAUAUAUUGAACCGCUUGGUUCACUAGUGAAAGACGGUUUUGCUGUCACUUAUAGAUGGAUCCGCGCCGCAUUAGCUAGUUGGUAAGGUAACGGCUUACCAAGGCAACGAUGCGUAGCCGACCUGAGAGGGUGAUCGGCCACACUGGAACUGAGACACGGUCCAGACUCCUACGGGAGGCAGCAGUAGGGAAUCUUCCGCAAUGGGCGAAAGCCUGACGGAGCAACGCCGCGUGAGUGAUGAAGGUCUUCGGAUCGUAAAACUCUGUUAUUAGGGAAGAACAAAUGUGUAAGUAACUAUGCACGUCUUGACGGUACCUAAUCAGAAAGCCACGGCUAACUACGUG